GGCGGAUUUUGACAAUCCAUACAUUUUAAUAUAAAAGGAAAAAAUUGU
rnacentral:sRNA from 15 species